rnacentral:lncRNA from 1 species
CAAAAUAGCCCAACAGAAGCUUCAACUCAGCUCACACAGUCUCUGGACCUGCUGAAAACAAAGCAUCAAAACCGCGUUGAAACGAUUACUUAAUAAUCCAAUUUCGGCUCCAAUCACACAUAGUACACAGUUAUAACUUAAUUCCCUGCUUCGGACUAGCUUAAUACCUCAAGUUGAGUCUUCAAGAGUUCUCACAAGUCAGCUAAAGUUACUCCAAGAGUCGAUCACACUCUCGCUGCGAACAACGUCGAAACGGCAUCAAAAUCGUUAGAUACUAAUAGAUAUAGUCGGAAUCUUGUAAAUUCAGUUUUCUCACAGAAAUUUCAGCUUACCCUCAGUU